UACGUAGGGUGCGAGCGUUAAUCGGAAUUACUGGGCGUAAAGCGUGCGCAGGCGGUUUUGUAAGCCAGAUGUGAAAUCCCCGGGCUUAACCUGGGAAUGGCAUUUGGGACUGCAAGGCUAGAGUGCGUCAGAGGGGGGUAGAAUUCCACGUGUAGCAGUGAAAUGCGUAGAGAUGUGGAGGAAUACCGAUGGCGAAGGCAGCCCCCUGGGACGUGACUGACGCUCAUGCACGAAAGCGUGGGGAGCAAACAGG
rnacentral:rRNA from 1 species